AAACUUAGAGCUGGCUACUGCAAUUGAAGGUGCAAUGGCUCAGGCGGCUGAGAGGGCGGCAACAGAGCAGGACG
rnacentral:SRP_RNA from 11 species